CCUACGGGUGGCAGCAGUGGGGAAUAUUGGACAAUGGGGGCAACCCUGAUCCAGCCAUGCCGCGUGUGUGAAGAAGGCCCUCGGGUUGUAAAGCACUUUCAGUGAGGAAGAACGCCUGGUGGUUAAUACCCAUCAGGAAAGACAUCACUCACAGAAGAAGCACCGGCUAACUCCGUGCCAGCAGCCGCGGUAAUACGGAGGGUGCGAGCGUUAAUCGGAAUUACUGGGCGUAAAGCGCGCGUAGGUGGCUUGAUAAGCCGGUUGUGAAAGCCCCGGGCUCAACCUGGGAACGGCAUCCGGAACUGUCAAGCUAGAGUGCAGGAGAGGAAGGUAGAAUUCCCGGUGUAGCGGUGAGAUGCGUAGAGAUCGGGAGGAAUACCAGUGGCGAAGGCGGCCUUCUGGACUGACACUGACACUGAGGUGCGAAAGCGUGGGUAGCAAACAGGAUUAGAUACCCGUGUAGUC
rnacentral:rRNA from 1 species